rnacentral:rRNA from 1 species
GACGAACCGUGCGAACGUCGUUCGGAUUCACUGGGCUUAAAGGGCGCGUAGGCGGGCCGCCAAGUCAGGGGUGAAAUCCUCCAGCUUAACUGGAGAACAGCCUCUGAUACUGGUGGUCUGGAGGAAGGUAGGGGCAUGCGGAACUAAUGGUGGAGCGGUGAAAUGCGUAGAUAUCGGGAGGAACACCAGUGGCGCAAGCGGCUAACUGGCCGAGACCUGACGCUGAGACGCGGCGGCGUGGGGAGCAAACCGG